GGGCCGCUGGUCUAGUGGUAUGAUUCUCGCUUAGGGUUACAACCCGAGUUUAAAUGCCUUCAAAAGCAUGCGAGAGGUCCCGGGUUCAAUCCCCGGGUGGCCCC